AGAGUUUGAUCAUGGCUCAGAGUGAACGCUGGCGGCGUGCCUAACACAUGCAAGUCGAACGAGAACGGAUUACAGCUUGCUGUAAUUGUCAGCUAAGUGGCGCACGGGUGAGUAAUAUAUAGUUAAUCUGCCCCAAAGAAGAGAAUAAUUGUUGGAAACGACUUGUAAUGCUCUAUAUGCCUUUAUCACAUAAGUGAGCAAGGGAAAUAUUUAUAGCUUUGGGAUGAGACUGUACGGUAUCAGCUAGUUGGUGAGGUAAUGGCUCACCAAGGCUAUGACAUCUAACUGGUUUGAGGGGAUGAUCAGUCACACUGGAACUGAGACACGGUCCAGACUCCUACGGGAGGCAGCAGUGGGGAAUAUUGCACAAUGGAGGGAACUCUGAUGCAGCAACGCCGCGUGGAGGAUGACACAUUUCGGUGCGUAAACUCCUUUUAUAUGAGAAGAUAAUGACGGUAUCAUAUGAAUAAGCACCGGCUAACUCCGUGCCAGCAGCCGCGGUAAUACGGGGGGUGUAAGCGUUACUCGGAAUCCCUGGGCGUAAAGAGCAUGUAAGCUGUAUAUUAAGUUGGAAGUGAAAUCCUAUGGCUCAACCAUAGAACUGCUUCCAAAACUGAUUUGCUAGAGUAUGGGAGAGGUAGAUGGAAUUUCUGGUGUAGGGGUAAAAUCCGUAGAGAUC
rnacentral:rRNA from 1 species